CAUAUUGCCUGGAAAGUAGUUGAUAUUCAAUUAAUAUACUCAUAAAACUGAGUGGAGAAACCAUUUUGGAUAAUAGGUCUCUCUGAAACUCUGAUAAAACCAAAGAAUUCUACAAAAUAGCUUACAGAUACAUAGUUUUACUUAAAUGUCAUGGGGUUUUUACAUCUCCUAAAUGCUCUUCAAGUUAGAAUCCUUGGUGAUUUUUUUUCCUAUUGCAUGAAUCCAUUUGCUGAGUGCUAUUGUUUUGAAAAAUAUUUGAUCCUAUAGAGGAUGCCAGAUGUAAAAUCUUGUGCUUCAAAGGAAGCUAUGCCAAAUAGAGAUGUGUCAUAAAAAUAGAAUGAUUCCAGAGCUUCUAGAAUUUUUAUGUGAUUUGUAAAAUGUUGUGCAUGUAUCUGAAAUACUGAAUUGCUUUAGAACUUAAAGGAACAUCCAUUUUGGCAGUAUUUAAUUUUUUUAAAGUAGUCUUAUAAUCUUAAGACUUAAGUUAACUUAUAUAAUACUUUAUAUAUUCUAUACCCUUUGUAAAAUUUUAGGACUUGACUAAUUACAAAAUCGGCCAUUUGUCCAGCCAUUGAAUAGUAUGUGAGGAAAUUGAGGCUUGAUCAUCCAGCCCAAAAGUUAAUAGUAUGAGUUAUUGGGAGUAGCAAUACUUAGUAUUUCAAUAAUUUCAGAUGUCAAGGUCUGAGCAAGGAUUCCUGUCUGUUUUAUUGUUUCACAGCUUUGAACAGUGUCUGAUACAUAACAGAUGUUCAAACAAUAGUUUUCUCUGUCUCAAUUAAAUAAAGUUAAAAAGAAAAUGUUAGCUUAAGAAUUUGUGCAGCACCUAUUACUUAAGCACCAACUUUAUGUCAUCCACUGUUCUAGAUACAUGAAAAAAGAGUUGACUGCAACACAGACCUUGCCUCAAGUUUCUCAACUUCUAUUUUUGCCACCUGUGCAAAAGCAACCAACCAACUAACACUGAUACUGAUCGACAAUGCUGAUAUAUCAAUUUCUGCUGUGGGACAGGGAGAACAAAACUCUCUUCUGGAAACUUUCAAGUGAUGCUGUGAGAAGAAAGACAGUAAAGUUAUUGAAGCUCUUCCUUUGUGAUGCUACUGGGAUUCCAGGAAAUGCUUCUGCAUGCCUGACAUUGCGCUGAGUGCUAAGAUAGAAGGAAGAAUGAGACGUGGAUCUUGAGGUAAGAAACCUGAAAUUUAGUAAAUGAAAUAAUUAAGCAAAUAUUGCAGUAUAGAAAUUUAUUUGUAGUGAUGAAAAGAAAACUCUAAAGAAUGUAUUGCUUACAUAAAUUUGUCUAAUUUGACUUAUAUUCAUACCUGUACUUAUUGUGAGACCAAUAAAUGUUCUGAAAAUUAUAAAUAUCGACUGGGU
rnacentral:lncRNA from 1 species